UCCCUGGCUGUCCAAUGGUUAGGACUCUGUGUUUCCAAUGCAGGGGAUGUGGGUUCCAUCCCUAGUCAGGGAG
rnacentral:tRNA from 1 species